rnacentral:rRNA from 1 species
GAUGAACGCUGGCGGCGUGCCUAAUACAUGCAAGUCGAGCGAACGGACGAGAAGCUUGCUUUUCUGAUGUUAGCGGCGGACGGGUGAGUAACACGUGGAUAACCUACCUAUUAGACUGGGAUAACUUCGGGAAACCGGAGCUAAUACCGGAUAAUAUUUUGAACCGCAUGGUUCAAAAGUGAAAGACGGUCUUGCUGUCACUUAUAGAUGGAUCCGCGCUGCAUUAGCUAGUUGGUAAGGUAACGGCUUACCAAGGCAACGAUGCAUAGCCGACCUGAGAGGGUGAUCGGCCACACUGGAACUGAGACACGGUCCAGACUCCUACGGGAGGCAGCAGUAGGGAAUCUUCCGCAAUGGGCGAAAGCCUGACGGAGCAACGCCGCGUGAGUGAUGAAGGUCUUCGGAUCGUAAAACUCUGUUAUUAGGGAAGAACAUAUGUGUAAGUAACUGUGCACAUCUUGACGGUACCUAAUCAGAAAGCCACGGCUAACUACGUG